CGUAGGCGGCUCAUUAAGUCCGAUGUGAAAUCCCGAAGCUCAACUUCGGAACUGCAUUGGAAACUAGUGGGCUUGAGUACAGAAGAGGAGAGUGGAAUUCCUGGUGUAGCGGUGAAAUGCGUAGAUAUCAGGAGGAACACCCGUGGCGAAGGCGGCUCUCUGGUCUGUUACUGACGCUGAGGUGCGAAAGCUAGGGGAGCGAACGGGAUUAGAUACCCCGGUAGUCCUAGCCGUAAACGAUGGUCACUAGGUGUUAGUGGUAUCGACCCCACUAGUGCCGCAGCUAACGCAAUAAGUGACCCGCCUGGGGAGUACGGCCGCAAGGUUGAA
rnacentral:rRNA from 1 species